AGUGAACGCUGGCGGUAGGCCUAACACAUGCAAGUCGAACGGCAGCACAGUAAGAUCUUGCCCUUACGGGUGGCGAGUGGCGGACGGGUGAGGAAUACAUCGGAAUCUACUUUUUCGUGGGGGAUAACGUAGGGAAACUUACGCUAAUACCGCAUACGACCUACGGGUGAAAGCAGGGGAUCUUCGGACCUUGCGCGAUUGAAUGAGCCGAUGUCGGAUUAGCUAGUUGGCGGGGUAAAGGCCCACCAAGGCGACGAUCCGUAGCUGGUCUGAGAGGAUGAUCAGCCACACUGGAACUGAGACACGGUCCAGACUCCUACGGGAGGCAGCAGUGGGGAAUAUUGGACAAUGGGCGCAAGCCUGAUCCAGCCAUACCGCGUGGGUGAAGAAGGCCUUCGGGUUGUAAAGCCCUUUUGUUGGGGAAGAAAAGCAGCAGGUUAAUACCCCGCUGUUCUGACGGUACCAAAAGAAUAAGCACCGGCUAACUUCGUG
rnacentral:rRNA from 1 species